GAUGAACGCUGGCGGCGUGCCUAAUACAUGCAAGUCGAGCGAACGGACGAGAAGCUUGUUUCUCUUAUGUUAGCGGCGGACGGGUGAGUAACACGUGGAUAACCUACCUAUAAGACGGGGAUAACUUCGGGAAACCGGAGCUAAUACCGGAUAAUAAUUUGAACCGCAUGGUUCAAAAGUGAAAGACGGUAUUGCUUUCACUUAUAGAUAGACCCACGCUUCAUAAGCUAGUUGGGAAGGUAACGGCUUACAAAGGCAAGAUAGAUAAGCCGACCUGAGAGGGGGACCGGCCACAUUGGAACGGAGACAGGCUCCAGACCCCUAGGGGAGGCAGCAGUAGGGAAUCUUGGGCAAUGGGCGAAGGCCUGACGGGGCACCGCCGCGUGAGUGAUGAAGUUCUCGGGUCCGUAAAACUCUGUUAUUAGGGAAGACCAUAUGCGUAAUUAACUGUGCAUCUAUUGACGGUACCUAAUCAGAAAGCCACGGCUAACUACGUG
rnacentral:rRNA from 1 species